rnacentral:rRNA from 1 species
AUUGAACGCUGGCGGCAUGCCUUACACAUGCAAGUCGAACGGCAGCACGGGGGCAACCCUGGUGGCGAGUGGCGAACGGGUGAGUAACAUAUCGGAACAUACCCUAGAGUGGGGGAUAACGUAGCGAAAGUUACGCUAAUACCGCAUGCGAUCUAAGGAUGAAAGUGGGGGAUCUUCGGACCUCAUGCUCAUGGAGUGGCCGAUAUCUGAUUAGCUAGUUGGUGAGGUAAAGGCUCACCAAGGCGACGAUCAGUAGCUGGUUUGAGAGAACGACCAGCCACACUGGAACUGAGACACGGUCCAGACUCCUACGGGAGGCAGCAGUGGGGAAUUUUUGGGACAAUGGGGGCAACCCUGAUCCAGCAAUGCCGCGUGAGUGAAGAAGGCC